UCUGUGAGUAUAGACUUGCCAUUUUUGCAUUUCAUGGGCAGAGGACAACUGCACCAGACGUGUAAGAGCUACUCACCAAGAUGAUCAAAAUUGGAGUGACUGUGGAACUUGAUCCAAGGAACUUUUUUAGUAAUAGAAGGUAAGAAUCACCAGAUGUCUGAUUACAAGACCGUGGUAUAGAGGUCAGUGUCUGACCCAUUCCACCCAGGAGUGCACAGGGCUCUGAGACCUGUACAGGAGAACACAGUGUUUACUGAUUCAGAGCCGGAUCAGGAGAAUCCCAUCCAGGUGCCAUUUACACCCCUGGGAACAGGAGUGAUGAGUGUGAGAAGAGCUCUGAGACUCCCUCUCCUACACAGAGCUGUGUCUACAGCCGCUCCAAGAACAACCUCAGCCCUUCUGAUGCUGGGACUUACUACUGUGCUAUGGCCACAUGUGGUGAGAUCCUGUUGGGCAAUGGAACAAAAUUGGACAUGGCCACUGACACGAAAUGCAAUGAGUCAGUGGCGUUGGUGUUGUGUGGGAUUGGGAUCAUCUUCCUUGCCUGCAACAUAAGUAAAAACAAGUCUGUGAAAAUUGUCAAGCAGUAGAUGCCUUUCGGGGAGGAAGACAUGAUGGAUUAAGGGGAGAACAGGAUCAAAAUGGGGAUACGUUGAAUUAUGCUGCAUUGAAUUAUGCUGCAUUGAAAACUAAAAGAGGAAGAAAGAAGAGAGACACCACAGGAGAGUGUGUACUCUGAUGUCAGGUACUCAGACUGGGAGUGAACAUCAUCUAUGUGCAGAGUGAACUUAGCCAGUGAACUUAGCAUCAUCAUUCUAAAAUGUAACAUUAAUAAUACUUACAUUUGUAAGUCAGUGCCACUUCUACACAGAGAAUUUGAAAAUAUGAGAA